rnacentral:rRNA from 1 species
UAACACAUGUAAGUCGAACGGCAGCACGGGAGCAAUCCUGGUGGCGAGUGGCGAACGGGUGAGUAAAGUAUCGGAACGUGCCCAGUCGUGGGGGAUAACGUAGCGAAAGUUACGCUAAUACCGCAUACGAUCUAUGGGUGAAAGCGGGGGAUCGCAAGACCUCGCGCGAUUGGAGCGGCCGAUAUCAGAUUAGGUAGUUGGUGGGGUAAAGGCUCACCAAGCCGACGAUCUGUAGCUGGUCUGAGAGGACGACCAGCCACACUGGGGCUGAGACACGGCCCAGACUCCUACGGGAGGCAGCAGUGGGGAAUUUUGGACAAUGGGCGAAAGCCUGAUCCAGCCAUGCCGCGUGCAGGAUGAAGGCCUUCGGGUUGUAAACUGCUUUUGUACGGAACGAAAAGGUUUGGCCUAAUAAGCUGAGCUCAUGACGGUACCGUAAGAAUAAGCACCGGCUAACUACGUGCCAGCAGCCGCGGUAAUACGUAGGGUGCGAGCGUUAAUCAGAAUUACUGGGCGUAAAGCGUGCGCAGGCGGUUAUGUAAGACAGAUGU